AUGCCCAUCCACAGGAGACAUUCAGUGUUCUGCCCUUGGGGUUAGCAGUCGCAAUUGAGUGCCAGGACUUUUCAUUUCAAAACCCUACAGUGGUCACAGAUGCUCUCUGAGCGGGCAUUAGCAUCUCCCUCUUUGCAUGGUGGCUGGCUUGUUCUGCUUGGCAUGUUGUCGGGUGUGGGGAAGUAUAAAUGGUCAUGAAAGAUGUUGAGAUAUAAUAAUGGUUUAUUCAGUAAUUCAUAUUUUCAAGGGAUGGUUUACAGCCCACUGAAGGAGCAUCCUGGGAAACAUACUGGUUUGGUUUAGUUACAGGAGAAACACACUGACUUGGUUUAGUUUUAGAAGCAUUCUCAGGAUUGUGAUGUACAAACAGAACUCAUCAGAAAAAUUGUAGAAAGCUGUGUGAUCUCAGUUUCAUCUUGAAAAGUGAGCAAUGCCUUAUUUCUGGAAUAGUUUUUAAAAUGCAAAAGGCAGCAACAAUGUGUUGGAUGUCUUUACAGUUGCCAUGGGGAAGACCUCGACGACGACUUAGAAUGGACUUACAUUGAACAGGACACCCUCUGACUGUUAGUGGCUAAGUAGGGAUGGAGGUGGCAGUCUCUUCCUGCUCACAAGGCCUGUCUCUGCUGCAGGGAGCUGGCUCCAUGGCUGUAGCUCAUAUGCUGCUGGUGGAGCAUGUAGUCCUGCUUCCAGAAUGCCAGUUCUGGAUGCUGAGGCUGUCCCCCAGGUCUCCCAUCUUUGCUCAGGGCACUGCGGUGGCUCCGUUCUAUGGGUACUUUACUUGCUACAGCCACAAUGAAGAAGGUGAGCUGGGUCGGGCAGGAGCAGUUGCAAGCCACACACCUCAUGCUUCUGUAGUGAUCUUCAGGCUGCUCUGUAGUGCUGGCUUUAAAUGUCAUCUUUGACAGCAUUACACAUAGAUGAGUGCACAGAGAGGCUAUACAACCUGUUCAAGAUCUCAUAAAUAACUUGCUGAUAAGGAGUAUGACAUGAAAAUUGUGCUUGUUCCUCCUAACCCCUAGUUCUGCUUGGUAGGAUGCAGCCUCCUUGGGCUGCGUUAUAGUAUACACUCGACUCCAAGGACGGUGCCCGACACAUGGUAGGUACUCAUUGUAUGUUUCUGCCAUGUCAGUUGUGAGGCACUCUCACACCCCUUCCACAGCCUCUCUGGGAAACUGAUACCCUGAGCAUCAAGUCACAUGGUCAUCAGAGCAGAGAUGUUGGACCUACCCAUUCUGCCAUCCCUAAGACUCCCAAGCCCCGCAGGUUCCAUGUUGCUAUGGAGAUGCUAGGCAGGUGAAGAGUAGUGCGGGGCAGGUGAAGGAUGAUGCUGACGAGCAUGGCAGGCCUCCAGCCAAAGCCCAUUUGUCCUGGUGACCCUGAGGAUGGAUGGCUGUUUGUACAAUGGCAGAUAAAUAACAGAAAUAGUGACAUCAUGUUCCUGUCACGUGAAGUGAGCUGAAAACCCAAGUGGGGGUAGGAGUGUGACAGGGAGUGCGUAGACCGCCACCUCCUUCCUUCCUUCUUCACUCCUCCAUAGCUUGAGAGGAGGAGAGGAAAUGAGGGAGAGAUUUCUCUCCUUGUUUUGCAUUUUGUUCCUUUGGCUUCCUGUCUGCAUUGCUCUUACUCUUCCUGGGCAUGGUUAGCCCUCUGCCUCAGACUGCUUGAAUGUCAUAACUUUUCUGCAGAAAGAAAGUAAAGCCCAGAUUAGCCAUGUGCCCCACCCCCGCCCCACCAGCCAGGCCUCUCCCUAGGAAGUAGUAUUUAUGUGAGCCCCAGCUCAGUGGCCUCUCGCCUAGAGAACAAGGCCUGAUUCACAUCCUCCCUACCCCUGCUCCACCCCACCUUCUCAUUUCUACUCCCAAGGCCAGCGGCACCUAACCCCCACUGUGCUGACCCUUCUCUUUAGCCACCUCUGGCCCAGUGCUCGCCUGGUCUCCACUUUGGAUGACCUCCAGACGUCCUCCCAAGGGCCUGAAGAACCUCUAUUUGCAGUGAUCCAUGUCCCAAGUUACCUCCACAGGGCUCCUAAGACUUAUCCAGCGACCCUGCUAACAUUAGCUCUUGUCCCUGUGUGAACCAGAAACCCUGGUUGCUGGCCCAGACCCAGUGGUGGAAUCUGGGUGCCCUUCUGCAAGGCUCCAGCUCUGCUGGGAGUUGACAUAAAGAAGGCCUGUCACAGAAGGCCCCCAGCUCUGGCCAUGACAGGCCUCAACUCACACCACCAGCUGUAUAUUUUGUCUAUUCUGUGUAUUUUGUAUAUACAGUGGCAGACUCUGGGCCCAGGAAAAGUGUGUACUGUAGAGUGGCAUCAGAUUCCAUUUCUUUCAAAGUGGCUUUCCUAUAGCAGCUGGAAGAAAAAGCGCCAUUGAUGGGAAAUAUUUUUGCUUUUCAUGGAUUUGUUUUCCUGUCUUUUGCUUUAUUUUAUGAAAUUGGCCUUUUGCUUAAACAGCUUUUUUGAAGAUUUGUUCCUUCAAAGAGUAAAAAUAGUCAACCUUAUAGUUUGCUUGUGUUCUCUAGUUUAUGAAAUGUGAUUUCAAGUGUGACCUGACUUAGUCUUUAGCCGGCCCUGUGUGGACCGUGCAGUUGCUUACUAUGGAAGUGAUACCCGAGGCCCAAGAGCUGGAGGAAGUGCCUUGCCGGGCUCUGUGCAGAGCUCCUUCAUCUUUGCACCUCAUGGCCUGUCUUUCUGAUUCUGCUGACCACUUCCUUACAUGUUGCCCCUGCCUUUCCUUCAGCACAGACCACAACCCACCAGGAGAAAGCUGCUACCAGGCUUGGCAGGUACCAUGUGUCUUCACCCUGGCUCCAGCCCCAUCUGCUGGCCCGACUUCCUGAGGCCUAUAGCCUUUCUCCUCUUGGCCCUGUGACUCUCCAUCCUGGGUGGAUAGCAUGGAGUGCCUUCUGUCUGGGCUCCUCACUUCCGACUCUUGCUGGGGAGUCCCAGACAUCCUCCUUGGUAUCCAUCCUAGCUUACCAGCAGUUAUCUGUCUCUACCAGGUGACUCUGCAGCCUCUCCUGUGAUGGGAAGGACUUGUUAGGAAGAACACCAUCUAGACCAGAGACACAGAAAGGUCAUUAUGUCAGAGCAGGAGUUGGAACUGCCCCUCCCCUCCCUGUAUCAUCAUCUCCUUGUUGUCUUGUUAUUAUGGCUUGUUACCAUGUGUGAAGUUGUGGCACCGUGCAGACUCUGAGGGUGCCAUGAGUCUCUCUCUCAGUGUGCUGCAGUAGCUUUGCUGUUCUUUUAUGUGGUCUGUUCUCACUAUGUGGUCCAAGCCCAAAGUCCCCCUGCCUGCAUCCCCAUUGCAUCAAUUACAGGUGUGCCUCUGUUUCUGCUCUCAGAAAUGCUGUUGAUGGAUUUCUUAGAGAUGCUUCUCCCAUGAAAGCCUGGUGUGCCAGGGUUGCCUGAGCUGGUGGAGACAGGCAGAGCACAUGCCCAGAAGAGUCACUCAGGCUCAGGGUCAGGCUAGGUACUGUCAUGGGUUCUCUUUCCGCUUAAUGUGUUUUAACCAGAGGCUGCAAACCUGAGAAAAAAAUUACUCUGCUUUUUCAAAGAUUCAUGAAAGAUGAGUAGGCCUUCAUUGCUAACUGAAGGGUACAGUAAGAACCUUGAUGGCAAAAGACAGAAACAUGCCUAGAAUUUGGCAUGUGGCCACGCUAGCCAGUAUGAGACUGGACUCUGGAGAAGUCAGUUAAACAUCACAGUUCCAGAGUCUAAUAGAUUCCUGCACCAACAGCGUCUCAAAUUAUUUGACAAAGUGUGUGCUUCUGAUAUUAUCAAGAUCUCAACAUGAAGUCACUUUGUUUGGUCAUUCUGAAUACGCCCUGUGUGACAGUGUCAGUUGUCAACUUGACAAGACUCUGGAAUCACCUGGGAGACCAGCCUCCGGGCAUGCCUGGGGGGAAUUGUCUUGAUUAUGACUAUCUGUCUAAAUUGUGAGCAGCGAGGACACUCCCUGGGCAGGGGAUGUGUGUGAAAAACAGAAGGCAAGCUAAACCCUAGCAUGCAUGCACUCACUGCUCCUUUCUGACUUUGGACAUGAUGUGACCAGCUGCUUCCAGCGCCUGCUGCCUUGACUUCCCUCAGCUGUGAACUCAAAUCCUCCCUCUCAAGUUGCUUUUGUCAGAGUAUUUUAUCACGGCAACAGCAAAAGCAGCCAAGACAGCCUGUAACCUGACAGUGAUAAAGCAAAGUGUGAGUGACAGAGUGAGUACAGUGGAGUGCCACUUCCUUCCGUCCCACACCCUCCUAGUCAGCCAGUGCUCUGCCAGCAGCUGCUUGGCAUCCAUCUCCUCCCAACACCUCAGAAGACCUCUGGUGUUUAGUUUCCAGAGUCAAGACUGCUGCCAUUUCCCGGGUUUAAGCUGCCAACCAGAAAUCCUAGGUGGCAGGUUGGCACAGGUGCUCGCAUGCAGAGCCCCCAGGAGUUAGUCCUAGCAGUUGUGCUCACUCUGGUGCUUCUGGAAACGUAGGUACUUAGGACAGAGCUCAAACAGUGCCACCCGCUUCAAUUGCAAAAGGGCUUUAUGGCACAUAGAUGUGCCACACACUAUAGGAAGCGCAUUUGACUGGGAGGGCACACACAGAGCCCAAAUCUGGUGUCUUGCUUUGUCACUUUCCACCUUACUGAAGGGUACAGUAAGCCUUUGACACGGGUGUCUGUCUCUGAAUCUGGGGCUAAGCUGGUGGCCAACAAGCCCAGCAACUCUCCUGUCUCCACCCACCCACAGUGCUGGCAUUACAGGCAUGUUCAUGGCCACUUCCAGCUUCUUAUAUAGAUUCUGGGGGGGUUGAACUCUGUUUUCUGUGUUCAUGCUGCCAGUGUUCUUACCCACUACGCCACUCCACAGCCCAUAGAAGUUUCUUUGUACCACCCAUUUGACAGUUUCCAUUAAAUAAUCGCUUUUGAUCUAUGAAGGUAGCCUACGAGGUCUCCUUUAGCAGAGAUUGGAAGGACCUGUAAUUCCCUACCAGCUCUCAUGGUAAAUUAUAACGUGUAGUUUACUAGAGAAGGCUGUCUCUUUAUUCCAAUGGGUUUGUGCAAGGACUCCUCAGUUUCUACUUAACCCUUCUCUGCCAGGGUCCUCUAGAGCCAGUGGUAUACCUAGGGUUGUUCUGCCAGGCUUGUUGCAAGAGACACUUAGCCCUGGACUUUGGUUGUGUUAUUCCCAAAGUUUGCACGAACAGCAAGCAGCUGACAGUGUUUUACCUGGAGUCACCAGCUCUGAGUGAGCAGUGAGGUAUAUCAGGUUGAUGAUGCCCUCGGACAUACAUCACACAAGGCCCAGGAGCUGCAUUAGUGACUUUCAUAAGGCCUGAUGGCCUGAUGAGGUGUGCCUCCCCUUCCUUCCAGGGGCUGCUGUAAUGCCUUGUGACUGACUGGAGGGCUGCCACACUAGCACUGGCUUCACAGGAGUGGCUUGUCUAGGAAACAUUUUUAAUCCAAGUUGUCCAUUCUCUUUGAAGUAGCCUGUCUUCCCCUCUUGUCUGGAUUUGCAGCCAAGAAGGUGGUUAAACUGUUUGCCUGGAACAAGUGUUGCCUAACUUGGGAGGUUGGGAUCCCUUUCCCUUUUAAAACCAAGUAGUCCAAAGAGCUUUGGCUUAUAUGGAAAAUGUGGUGUUAAUUUUUACUGCAUUGGAAAUUAAAACUGACAAAAUUAAAAAUACUUAAGUUUUUAUUUUAAAAUAACUGUAAGAAACUCACCAUAUAAAUAUACAGUGAAAAACAGAUAUUUUCCAAAAUAAAAUGAGUGAUGAAUAUGACAUUGUGUUAUAGUUUUUAAAACCUCUUUCGUAGCUUACUUAAUAGAGUCAACUGUAUUAUUAUGUUACCUUUAUUUAGCCUGUUAUAGUUAUAUUCUUUUAAGUAAACAAAGGAAAGGCUGACAUUAUAUGGAUCUGUAGUUGAAAAAAGGGAGGUGGACCUCACAAACUCUAAAUAGACUCCCAGGAUCCUCUGGCUGUAAUUGAGAAGCAUGGGGCUAGAAGAAGGGCAACUAGUGAGAUGGUGAGAUGGCUCAGCUUGCCUCCAAGCCUCACAAACCCCAGUUUUGUGCCAGACCUACAAGGUUAGAAGAGAGGACUGGCUCCUCCAGGUUGUCCUCUGACUGUCACAUGUAAGAUGUGCAUACCUUUGACUCACCUAAUAAAAAAGUAAAUAUUUUUUCAUAGGGAAGAGGAAUAUUCAUGCUGGAAGGGACUGUCGGGCAGGGUGUGCUCCAGUCUGCCUGGGAACCAGUGAGGGAACAGAGUGAGGGGGAUGCUGCCUGCCUUUGAUAAUCCAAGGAAACAAUACUCUUGGCCUAUUUAGUACAGAAGCCGUCUGAAAGUGGCUGCUGAGUCCUUGAAAUGUGAUAAGCCCAAGUGAAGGUGUGCUGUCAUUCAAAAGAACCCGCUGGACUUCAUCGACAUGAAAAGAGAGGGCAAAAUGCCUUGAUGUUUUCGUAUUGGUUACAUACUGUGUUGAAAAUAUUGUAUAUGUUAAACAAAACAUCGUAUUCAAAUUAAUUCAACCUGUAACUUUAAAAACAAAAAUGAUUGUGUAUGCACGUGUUGUGUAUGUGUGGCUAGGUGUGCCAUGAUGCAUGUGUGGAGAUCUGAGGACAGCUUUGUCAAGUCAGUUGUCUCUUUCCACCCAUGCGUGGAUUCCUUAGGUCAUCAGGCUUGCCUACCCAUUGAGCCAUCUUGUUGGCCCCACUUGUAACUUUUCAAUAUGGCAGCUAGGUGGUGUUAAGUUCUCUUUAUAUCCUGCAUCAUAGCCAAGAGCUUAACAAAAGUGCCUUGCCUAUUCUGUUCAUGUCCACACAUUCAGUGCUGUACAUAGCGAAACAAGGGCUUAGAGAUUCCAGGAAGCCUCACUCAGAGGCCUCACCCAGCCUGAAGGACAAAUCUGGGAGUGGGAAAUGAGUGUGCCUAUCUCCAGAUUAAUGGAGGGUGUUUUUGUGUGCACUGCUGCUUACUUCUCCCUAACAGUAGGGCGACUGUACAUAUCCUCUACUCUGCCGAUGCUGUCCGGUAACCAUGGCUAGCAGUUGCUGUGGCCCAGAUGUACUUGCUGCCUUUGAUGACCAGCCAGACCAUGGUUCUCACCUGUGUCUAUGCUGGUCCCAUGCACCUCUGUAACUUUUUAAUGUGGCACUUUCUAGUCACUUUCCUGUUCUUUAGAAACUCUCUUCAUCUGUCACCAGGAUGUCACAAGGGGAUUUGGCAGCUAUCAGCAAUAAAAGCCUCCUGAAUGAAAAAAGGCAAAACAAGAAAAAAAAGAAAAGAGAAGUAGUGCCACCUUUUAAACUUUUGUUCAUGUUAAUUUUAUUGAUUGUGUCUGUGUCUGUGCACACAUUUGUGCUGUAACACACAUGUUGGUUAGAGGACAGCUUGUAGGAGUUAGUUUUCUUCUACCAUGUGAGUCCUGGAUAUCACACUCAGAUUGUUAGCUUGAUGACAAGACCCAGUGAGCCACUGGGCAUGGUGGCGCAUGCCUUUAAUCCCAGCAUUUGGGAGGCAGCAGCAGCAGGUAGAUUUCUGUGAGUUCAAGACCAGCCUGGUCUAUAGAGCCAGUUCCAGGACACCCAGAGCUGUUACACAGAGGUGCCCUGUCUAGAACCCCCCCUCCCCCAAAAAAAGAAUAAGAGAAAAAGAAAAAGGCCCCGUGAGCCCUCUCACUGGCCCAUGUCUUUUUUAUUUUGGUAGUAACUUUGUGGAAAUAAUCAUGAUUUUUAAAACCCAUUUUUAUCCUCUUUCCAUAGUGUCACUGUUUUGUGUAAAGGAAAAUGCCUACUAUCCCUUGGCCUGUCUCAGAUCUCAGCCCAUGAUUUAGAAGAGUCCUGUGGUGAGACCCACUUGUGGGCAGAACUCAUGGUCUGGAAAAGCUUGUGGGAAGGAUCUGUCACAGCUUUUGAAUAACAUGGGCUAGGGUCAAUUUCUAGAAAACACUGAGACUCUAUUGUCAGAACCAGUGGCUUUCUUGUUUUUGAUUGAAACACAGAUAUUAACUAGACUAAAGGUAAUUAUAAUUUAUUUUACCUAACACCACUCACUGGGCAAGAUGGUGCACACUUUUAAUUCCAGCAUCUGGGAGGGAGAAGCCGGGCUGCUGUCUUUGAGUAGCCUGGUCUACACAGCAAGUUACAGGCCAGCCAGAGCUACAAACUUGAGACCCAGUCUCAAAAACAAAUAUACUAAAUAUAACAACAGAACUUGAUAAUUUGCUAUGUUUUUGUUGCAAAUGUUAUCCUAGGACCCAUCAGCUGACCACAUUGAGACACUGAUGUUAUGACCUAAAGGUCUUAUUCCCUUGACCAGCAGCAUGCUGCUUCUCUGAUUCUGUGGGCCUCUUGUAUGCUCCACCUGACCUGUGUUCUU